rnacentral:rRNA from 1 species
ACGUAGGGCGCAAGCGUUGUCCGGAAUUAUUGGGCGUAAAGAGCUCGUAGGCGGCUUGUCACGUCGGUUGUGAAAGCCCGGGGCUUAACCCCGGGUCUGCAGUCGAUACGGGCAGGCUAGAGUUCGGUAGGGGAGAUCGGAAUUCCUGGUGUAGCGGUGAAAUGCGCAGAUAUCAGGAGGAACACCGGUGGCGAAGGCGGAUCUCUGGGCCGAUACUGACGCUGAGGAGCGAAAGCGUGGGGAGCGAACAGGAUUAGAUACCCUGGUAGUCCACGCCGUAAACGGUGGGCACUAGGUGUGGGCAACAUUCCACGUUGUCCGUGCCGCAGCUAACGCAUUAAGUGCCCCGCCUGGGGAGUACGGCCGCAAGGCUAAAACUCAAAGGAAUUGACGGGGGCCCGCACAAGCGGCGGAGCAU